AGGCGAAACCGCGAAUGGCUCAUUAAAUCAGUUAUGGUUCCUUAGAUUGUUUCUACCUACUUGGAUAACUGUGGUAAUUCUAGAGCUAAUACAUGCAGUGAGCCCGAAGCCGUUAGGUGACGGGUGCUUUUAUUAGACCAAGAUCAAACGGGCCUCGGUCCGUGUGUGUGGUGACUCUGGAUAACUUUGGCUGAUCGCUAAGGCCACGAGCCGGCGACAAUUCUUUCAAGUGUCUGCCUUAUCAACUGUCGAUGGUAGGUUAUGCGCCUACCAUGGUCGUUACGGGUAACGGAGAAUCAGGGUUCGAUUCCGGAGAGGGAGCCUGAGAAACGGCUACCACAUCCAAGGAAGGCAGCAGGCGCGCAAAUUACCCACUCCCGGCACGGGGAGGUAGUGACGAAAAAUAACAAUACGGGACUCUUUUGAGGCCCCGUAAUUGAAAUGAGUACACUCUAAAUCCUUUAACGAGGAUCAAUUGGAGGGCAAGUCUGGUGCCAGCAGCCGCGGUAAUUCCAGCUCCAAUAGCGUAUACUAAAGUUGCUGCGGUUAAAAAGCUCGUAGUUGGAUCUCAGUUCCAGGCGGGUUGUGCAUCCACUCGAUGUUUACGACCCGCACUGAACAUCUUACCCGCUGUCUCUUGGUGCCCUUCAUUGGUGUGCCUCGAGGUGGCCGGUGCAUUUACUUUGAAAAAAUUAGAGUGCUCAACGCAGGCGAACGUCCUGAAUAACAGUGCAUGGAAUAAUAGAACAAGACCUUGUUUCUGUUCUGUUGGUUUUUGGAAACGAGGUAAUGAUUAAGAGGGACGGACGGGGGCAUUCGUAUUGCGGCGCUAGAGGUGAAAUUCUUGGACCGUCGCAAGACGAACUACUGCGAAAGCAUUUGCCAAGAAUGUUUUCAUUGAUCAAGAACGAAAGUCAGAGGUUCGAAGGCGAUCAGAUACCGCCCUAGUUCUGACCAUAAACGAUGCCAACUAGCGAUCCGCCUGAGUUACUCAAAUGACUCGGCGGGCAGCUUCCGGGAAACCAAAGUAUUUGGGUUCCGGGGGAAGUAUGGUUGCAAAGCUGAAACUUAAAGGAAUUGACGGAAGGGCACCACCAGGAGUGGAGCCUGCGGCUUAAUUUGACUCAACACGGGAAAUCUCACCCGGCCCGGACACUGGAAGGAUUGACAGAUUGAGAGCUCUUUCUUGAUUCGGUGGAUGGUGGUGCAUGGCCGUUCUUAGUUGGUGGAGCGAUUUGUCUGGUUAAUUCCGAUAACGAACGAGACUCUAGCCUAUUAAAUAGGUGCGAGGUUCUCUGCACCUUACAACCUUCUUAGAGGGACAAGCGGCUUCUAGCCGCACGAAACAGAGCAAUAACAGGUCUGUGAUGCCCUUAUAUGUCCGGGGCCGCACGCGCGCUACACUGAAGGAAGCAGCGUGUAUUUGCCCCUGUCUGCAAGACUGGGUAACCCGAGGAACCUCCUUCGUGAUUGGGAUAGGGGCUUGAAAUUGUUCCCCUUGACGAGGAAUUCCCAGUAAGCGCGAGUCAUAAGCUCGCGUUGAUUACGUCCCUGCACCUUUGUACACACCG
rnacentral:rRNA from 1 species